rnacentral:lncRNA from 1 species
UUCUUGCUCUCUUUUCCUGAAGAUGUAAGAAUAAAGCUUUGCCGCAGAAGAUUCUGGUCUGUGGUGUUCUUCCUGGCCGGUCGUGAGAACGCGUCUAAUAACAAUUGGUGCCGAAUUCCGGGACGAGAAAAUCCGGGACGAGAAAAAACUCCGGACUGGCGCAGGAGGGAUACUUCAUUCCAGAACCAGAACUGCGAAUCAAGGUUAUAAGGUUCCCGUAACACAGACUGUUGAGAAGGAUUCAACUGCCGAAUUCAGAACUCAUCAGCUGGGGAACGACGGUGAUAAAGGUUCCCGUAAAGCAGACUGUUGAGAAGGAUUCAACUGCUGAAUUCAGAACUCAUCAGCUGGGGAACGGAAAAUGAAGACAACCCAUUUUGGGUACCAGAAAGACUCACCCGAAAAAUCCAGACUGACCAAGGGAAUACUAAUGUCCCUCGUCUUGGUGAUGUCCAGGGCGUCAAUAAUAAAGAGAGAGCAGCGUUGGGGGAUAAUGUCGACAUUCCCACUCCCAAUGACGGUGAUGUAUAAUGCUCAAGUAUUCUCCUGCUUUUUUACCACUAACUGGGAACUGGGUUUGGCCUUAAUUCAGACAGCCUUGGCUCUGUCUGGACAGGUCCAGACGACUGACACCAUUAACACUUUGUCAGCCUCAGUGACUACAGUCAUAGAUGAACAGGCCUCAGCUAAUGUCAAGAUACAGAGAGGUCUCAUG